AUUUGAGCAGACUUGAAGAGGAGAGAAACUGAGACACGCAGGGCUUGUGGUCCCUGACAAGGAGGACCCUGAGGGCAACCACACCUUGCCAUGCAGAGCACCUGGCUUCUCAUCUGCCAAGCUCACUCUGACCCGGCUGCAGGAAGGGAAGGAGCCAACCCCGGACUCAAGACUCAAGGGGACCAGAACCAGGGAGAUGAGACAUACCAGGGCUGGGCAGCUGUGGGGGUCCUUCCAGAGAGGAGCUGAGAUACGCCUACCUGGAGGGGCCCCUGGGCCUGGAGGGGCUCCUCAGUGUGACUGGGUGAAGUGUUUUCAGAGGACCAGGGUUGAGGUUGGGGGCAUCUCAUCCAGACCCUGCCGGCAUCUGCCCCAGAACCCAAGGGCCCCUCCUUCCUCCCUCCUCGAUGGAAAUGCUGGGGAUGUCCUCAGUCACCCUCUGAGCACUCACACAUCACCCCUUAUUUGGAAAUUUUUCUCACUCUAACCUUCCUUCCUGCUGCACCUUCUGCCCCAUCCCCAGGCUCUGGCCUCUCUCUCUCCUCUUCUACCCUUUAGCAGGUAAUGACUCAGUUCCCACUGAGGAGCCAGCUGUAGGUGAGAGUCUGGGCUCUCGGUGAGGUUGGGAGAAGGAAAAGGCUUAUGGGCCAGGGGGUGGGAGGGAGAAUGGG
rnacentral:sRNA from 1 species